rnacentral:rRNA from 1 species
UUUGAUUAUGGCUCAGGAUGAACGCUGGCGGCGUGCCUAAUACAUGCAAGUCGAACGAAUCUCUUUUAGAGAUGAGUGGCGAACGGGUGAGUAAUACAUAGGUAACCUGCCCCUGUGCGGGGGAUAACAGGAGGAAACUCCUGCUAAUACCGCAUAGCCAUGAGCACCGCAUGGAGCUCAUGCCAAAUAUCCUUUAUGGGAUAGCGCAGGGAUGGACCUAUGGCGCAUUAGCUGGUUGGCGGGGCAACGGCCCACCAAGGCAACGAUGCGUAGCCGGCCUGAGAGGGCGGACGGCCACAUUGGGACUGAGACACGGCCCAGACUCCUACGGGAGGCAGCAGUAGGGAAUUUUCGGCAAUGGGGGAAACCCUGACCGAGCAACGCCGCGUGAGCGAAGAAGGCCUUCGGGUCGUAAAGCUCUGUUGUAAAGGAAGAACGGCGCAUACAGGAAAUGGUAUGCGAGUGACGGUACUUUACCAGAAAGCCACGGCUAACUACGUGCCAGCAGCCGCGGUAAUACGUAGGUGGCGAGCGUUAUCCGGAAUCAUUGGGCGUAAAGAGGGAGCAGGCGGCCGCAAGGGUCUGUGGUGAAAGCCCGAAGCUAAACUUCGGUAAGCCAUGGAAACCGGGCGGCUAGAGUGCGGAAGAGGAUCGUGGAAUUCCAUGUGUAGCGGUGAAAUGCGUAGAUAUAUGGAGGAACACCAGUGGCGAAGGCGACGGUCUGGGCCGCAACUGACGCUCAUUCCCGAAAGCGUGGGGAGCAAAUAGGAUUAGAUACCCUAGUAGUCCACGCCGUAAACGAUGGUCACUAAGUGUCGGGGGUCAAACCCCGGUGCUGCAGUCAACGCAAUAAGUGACCCGCCUGAGUAGUACGUUCGCAAGAAUGCAACUCAAAUGAAUUGACGG